GAGUUUGAUCCUGGCUCAGGACGAACGCUGGCGGCGUGCUUAACACAUGCAAGUCGAACGGGAUCACCUUUCGGGGUGGUUUAGUGGCGAACGGGUGAGUAACACGUGAGUAACCUGCCCUCAGCUUUGGGAUAAGCCUGGGAAACUGGGUCUAAUACCGAAUAUUCAUAUCCUGUCGCAUGGUGGGGUGUGGAAAGGGUUUACUGGCUGGGGAUGGGCUCGCGGCCUAUCAGCUUGUUGGUGGGUGAUGGCCUACCAAGGCGGUGACGGGUAGCCGGCCUGAGAGGGCGACCGGCCACACUGGGACUGAGACACGGCCCAGACUCCUACGGGAGGCAGCAGUGGGGAAUAUUGCGCAAUGGGCGGAAGCCUGACGCAGCGACGCCGCGUGGGGGAUGACGGCCUCGGUUGUAACGUACUUUCUAGUCCCGACCGAACGACGACGAGU
rnacentral:rRNA from 1 species